rnacentral:rRNA from 1 species
UAACAAGGAUUCCCCUAGUAACUGCGAGUGAAGCGGGAAAAGCUCAAAUUUAAAAUCUGGCGGUCUCUGGCCGUCCGAGUUGUAGUCUGGAGAAGCGUUUUCCGCGUUGGACCGUGUACAAGUUUCCUGGAACGGAGCGUCAUAGAGGGUGAGAAUCCCGUCUUUGACACGGAUCCAAAUGCUUUGUGAUGCGCUCUCAAAGAGUCGAGUUGUUUGGGAAUGCAGCUCAAAAUGGGUGGUGAAUUCCAUCUAAAGCUAAAUAUUGGCGAGAGACCGAUAGCGAACAAGUACCGUGAGGGAAAGAUGAAAAGCACUUUGGAAAGAGAGUUAAACAGUACGUGAAAUUGUUGAAAGGGAAACGCUUGAAGUCAGUCGCGUUGGCCGGGACUCAGCCUUGCAUCAGCUUGGUGUACUUUCCGGUCGACGGGCCAGCAUCAGUUUUGACCGCGGGAUAAAGGUGAAGGGAAUGUGGCUCUUUCGGGAGUGUUAUAGCCCUCUGUCGGAUGCCGUGGUUGGGACUGAGGAACUCAGCACGCCUUUAUGGCCGGGGUUCGUCCACGUACGUGCUUAGGAUGCUGGCGUAAUGGCUUUAAACGAC